AGUUCACGGCUGUCUCAGCCCUGGAUUGCUUUUUUCUUCCCUAGCUGCACCUAGAGCAUCUUCCCAGUGGUGGUCCCAAGCAGGCAGGAGCACAGCGUAGCCACAUGAAGAGAGGGAAACCUGGUGCAAAAUCCACCUGUGUAUGAGUGUGUCUGAGAGCUGAAACUGAAGGCCACAGUCCCCUGCCAACCCAUUUUAUUGGUGACCAUGCAAGUAACAAACCUGUGUCUGAAAAUGAAGGUGCUUUGUUUCUCUUUGAAUAAACAGCCCUGCGUUUGGGACUGUGCUGGCUGAUGACUUAACCCCGGGAGAUGCCGCUGGCAGAAGCAGCUCUGCAGGUCGCCUGGCAAGACCUGUCCCAGUUCCCAUGAGCAGCACUCCGGUAUGAAUGCUUCUGACUUCCUGCUACCAAUGGAACCAUCCUGUUCAGCUCCACUCUUCAUGGAGGGAAGGGAACAGGCCUUACCCUUCAAGCACCACGCUAAGAAGCGCCUGUUGUGUCCUGUCCAUAACAUGUCCUAGUGUCAGGGCAAGGUAGAAUGCAGUCAGUCUGCACUCUGAGAUGGAGAAGGAAAAAUCAUCAUAGGAGAGCAGAGAAUGCUCCCUGCAUGGGCACACCCGCCGGUUCAAACAGCUCUUCUUCAUCUACAGUGAACUAUGCUGGUAGAAUCUGUGCAGCCAGGAGCAAGCAGCAGAGCAUCUGUACACCACUUGGGGAGCAAAACCAACAGGCAUUUUCUCCUCCAGACAUUCACACCUUUCCUUAUGUAACUGGUGCUGAAGUGUGUGCUUUAAAAGCUGCUUGCCAAAUCCAGGGGCUGGGAGGCAGCACAAACGCUUCUAGCACUCUAGCUGAAAUUGAGGGGGAAAAAAAAAUCCAAACCCAAACACCCAGGAACUUGUAGAAAUACGUAACCACAACUAGGGGAUGGUUCAAGUCUCUGCAGCAGUGUUAUCCUGAAUAAACUGCAUUGGCCUAGGGCAGUGCUGGCACCCAGACCACCAUCUGAUGAGGAUGGUGAGGAGCUGACAGUCCAGGAUAGAGGAGUGAGGAGCUGGAGAUUAUUUUUCUUAUGCAAUAUUAAAAAAAAUAACCCUAAAAAAAAAAAAAUCAGGUAGUGCAGCCAGGAAAAGGGCGCCAGGGAGGCUGGAGGUGGCUGAAAUGCUCUUCUGAAUGGUGCCUUGUGUUGACCGAACCUGCAGAUUUAUAAAAAAAAAAACCAAAAAUGUGGGGCUGCUCACCAGUGAAAAACAGGUAUAUCCUUCGCUUUGUGAUUUUUGGUGACACUGGCGCUAGCCAGGAGAAACAUCUGAGGAGAGAGAAGCUCUGAAGUCCAUUCCCGCCCACUCCAGGGCAGGAAGAAGCUGCCCACAGCGCCUGAGGGACAUGAGGACACGAGUCCCUGCGCAGCCAGGCACAGCAUCCUCGAGCCACCCUGCACACUUGGAUCCCUGCCUUGCCCGCGAGCCAGUUGUUCCCUCUCCAGUACGCGCCGUACGCAGGGGUUUUGGUUUGUUUUUUAAGGGAAAAAACAAUAAUUUAUUUGCUUUGUUUUAAUCUCAUAACAAUGGGUAAUGGUAAUUUCCUCCUACCACUCCGUAGUGGCCUAGAAAAGGACAGCAUCAUCUCCACUGUAGCAAGAAGGCUUGUCCCAGGGCAUAAAAUUUUAAUUAGGAACAAUCACGCAGCCUUGAAAUGGGAAUUGCGAGCAGCAAAA